rnacentral:lncRNA from 1 species
GGCAAGACAUGUCAUAGACAUGUUGUGUUGGUGCAUCAUGGGAGGAAACAAUAAAAUAAAGUUAGUAAUAAAGAAAUGGAAAAAAAAAAAGAAAGAAGGUGUGAUUGUUUCUCCCCCUCCCCAUUGCCGUGAAUGUAAGAAAGAAAACAAAAAAAAAGUGUCCAUCUUUUUUCAUGUCUCUUGGCCGAAUGUUCUAAGGA